rnacentral:rRNA from 1 species
UCUCGGCAAAUUAUCCUCAUAAGUUUGACAAUAAGAGAAACCAUGUAAUAUUAAAUUAGCCAUAAUUUAAUUAAUUAUAUGGUAUAAUAAAAUCGGAGGCCACGACUGUUUACUAAAAACACAAUUCAGAGCAAUAAUUAAGAUAAUAGUAUUCUGGAUGAAAUUUGCCCAAUGCCAUUAAUAUAAGAAAGGUAAUUUUAAAGUUACUAAUUGAAAGUCUGGUUAAUAGCGGUCUUAACUAUGAGGAUCCUAAGGUAGCAAAAUAAAUUGGCCAUUAAAUGUGGUCUUGUAUCAAUAAUGUAACGAUGGUCUCACUGUCUCUACAACUUGCUCAGUGAAAUUGAAUUGCGAGUGCAGAUGCUCGCUGUCUUCAGGGGGACGGGAAGACCCUAUGCACCUUCUACUGA